UAAAAUUUUGAUUUUGGUUCUUAUAGAUUGUAGGUCUUAUGUUGCCUUUUUGAUGAUUGAUAAUGAAAUACGUGUUCAGUAGUAUUAUUUGUUUCCCUACAUAAAUGUUUAUGCAAAAUAAAAGCUUUAAUUCCAUUUAUGUGGUGGUGGCUUUCCAGGUUUGUCUUUUUGGUUUGGAAUACUAAAUUUGAUUCAAAGUCAAUUUUGAUUUGAAAUGUCUGUUUUUACUUUCAUGAGUAGUUCUUCAAUUGAUUGAAUCAGACAUGGGUACUAUUGCAGGAAAAAACUUAAGAUGAUUUGCAGUAAAAUUACAGGAUUAGGUGGACGAGGUGAGAAGCCUUAAACUUACUGGAAAAGGAAAUCUUCAAGGAUGUAAAGAUUUCUCGUUGGACAAUAGGAGUAUAUAACUUUAUAUACGUUCCUGAAGCAUGCUUGAGCCACAUUGAGCUUCAAACAUGUUGGUGCGAUGCUGACAACUCAUAGUUCUGUGUUGGGAGUGGUUGGAUUCAUGCAUUGGAGCUCUUUUUAAAAACAUUAGGCUUAUCAUUUGGUCUGGUGUAGAUCCUCAAAUGUUGGUUCAGAGUGCACGAAGAUUGAAAGUUAGUUAGCUAUCAUUUCGGUGCAGAUAUGGAUCUUCAAGCUGGAAGACUUUCAGUAUGAUCAAGAGUCAUAGUGAAACUUGUUAGACUUGAAAUGACAUUGAAUUCAAAUGGUUUAUUUCUCUUAUUUUGUCGACACUUUAACUAUGUAUUAGAAGUUGGUUUUGUUGUGGAUUUAAUGAAAGACAGGUUAUUUUUAGAUG